GGCAGAUCAUCCAAGCUAUAUUUCCCAGCCACCUGGGCUUGGGCAUAUGGAUGCCUGGUACUAAAGGAAAGACAAUAAAUGGGAACCAUUGGAACUUUCACAUGAUGGAUGCUUGUACAGAUCUCCCUCAGUUGAACUAGUGCACUGUCCCUUUAAGAAGCCAGGCAAGAUGGAGCCCUCCCAACUCACAGCCAGAGGCUUUAAGCAACCUGAUAAGGAUGCUGGAGUGUGACAAAAAGAAAGAACAACUGGAGGGGAAGCUGUUCAAUUGGCCCUCACUUGUCUCUGAAGAGGAAUUGUUCUAAAUAAAGUUGUAGAUACUUGUUGGAUGCCGUUGAUACUGAGGCUGUAGCUACCAGUGACAGAGAAGGAUGUUUUCCUACCCAGAGUCAGACUUGUCAAUAGAUACCAGAAGCAGUCUGAAGGAAAGGUCUGACCACAGGAGGACGCCAAGGAGCCAGUCUUUCAAAUCACUGGAUCAGUAGGAGAAAGGGAGGAAGCAGGAUAAGGAACCUAUGUGCCAAUAAGGUCCCGUUGAUCCUCCUGUACCAGAUCCAUUUUGUGCACCAAGCAAAAGAUUUUGGCGUCUGGAGAGUUCUGCAGAAUGGCCUCCAGGCAUGAUUGGUAAUAGUGCAUGUCC